UACGGGGGGGGCAAGCGUUAUCCGGAAUUAUUGGGCGUAAAGAGCUCGUAGGCGGUUUGUCGCGUCUGCCGUGAAAGUCCGGGGCUCAACUCCGGAUCUGCGGUGGGUACGGGCAGACUAGAGUGAUGUAGGGGAGACUGGAAUUCCUGGUGUAGCGGUGAAAUGCGCAGAUAUCAGGAAGAACACCAAUGGCGAAAGCAGCUCUCUGGGACGGUACUGACGCUGAGACGCGAAAGCGUGGGGAGCGAACAGG
rnacentral:rRNA from 1 species